AAGAACUUACGUUAUGUACUUUGCCUAUGAGAAGUAUCAACAUUCCUUACUCUAAUCCCACAAUCCUUAGGAAUCUCCAGUCUCUCCAUUGUCAUCUCUUUACAUAAGUUAACACAAGUAAAGGUGAAUUCUUACCGAGGGAGUAUCGAUCGAUGGCAUAUGGACUCUUCUCAAACCAAAACAUUCUUCGUAUGAUUUCACUUCCUCUCACUUUUCUCACUUCUUAAGGUAAUCGACAUCUCUCUACUUUUCUAGGGUUUCAUUUUAUUUUUUCAACGAUUCCUUUUUUUUUUCUUUUCUGUUUUUUCUUUUAUAUCUCUUUUCUUUUUUUAUUCGGGUAUUCAUGAGAUCCGAAGUAUGCAUGAGUUUACGAGACAUCCCUCAUAUCACUUGUACCUAUACCCUUUUCCACAGUUUCUUUUAAAGGGUGAAGGGAAGAGAGAAGGAAGGAAUCAUACUUUGAAGAAGUGCAGUGUCU
rnacentral:lncRNA from 1 species